rnacentral:piRNA from 1 species
AACAGUGACUAGAACUAAAUACCUUAAGGA